CAGUCGCCACGGUAAAACGGAGGAUCCAAGCGUUAUCCGGAAUCAUUGGGUUUAAAGGGUCCGUAGGCGGUCUUGUAAGUCAGUGGUGAAAGCCCAUCGCUCAACGGUGGAACGGCCAUUGAUACUGCAGGACUUGAAUUAUUGGGAAGUAACUAGAAUAUGUAGUGUAGCGGUGAAAUGCUUAGAGAUUACAUGGAAUACCAAUUGCGAAGGCAGGUUACUACCAAUUGAUUGACGCUGAUGGACGAAAGCGUGGGUAGCGAACAGGAUUAGAUACCCGAGUAGUCCCUGUCUCUUAUAA
rnacentral:rRNA from 1 species